rnacentral:lncRNA from 1 species
AUAAACCCUCACCAGUGUCCCGCCACUCCUCCCUGGUGAUCCUGUUCAGUUUUUCAUAAUGGCACAGUGGCCUUGGGAGGGCCUUUCAGGAGGGGCUAGAAUGCAGGCUGGGAAGGAGGGCAUCUCACGGAAGGCAUCAUUCAUGCUGGGGGAAGAUUUUCCAGUGCAGCUGCUUUGGGCCGCCCAUACUGCCGCCAGUGGCCCCUCAUCUAUGCACGGUAGGUAAGCUCAGUGAGCCCACCGGUUCCUCAGGGGAGCUCGGGUGCAAGCACAUUGUGGUUUUCCAUUGGCUCCUUAGAAGAGAGCGUAGACAUCGUGUAUCCUGCAGGGGAAGAUUCUCCCAAUUCUUGUUAAUCAAGGCGCUGCGGUGGGCUUGUGUUCCCCUCAAAUGCAGAUGGUGAGACCCCCAACCUCCACCACUACUCACUGGGUUGUCAGUGUAUUUAGAGACACGGCUCUUAAAGAUGCCAUUAAAGGCAGGAGAAGCAUUUCUCAAGUUAGCAACUUGCACAAGAAAGGUGGCUGAGCAAACCAGAGGGAACAGGCCGGUAAGGAGACUUCCUCUGCGCUUCCUGCAUCAGUUAAGGAGACUUCCUCUGUGCUUCCUGCAUCAGGUAAGGAGACUUCCUCUGUGCUUCCUGCAUCAGGUAAGGAGACUUCCUCUGCGCUUCCUGCAUCAGGUAAGGAGACUUCCUCUGCGCUUCCUGCAUCAGUUAAGGAGACUUCCUCUGCGCUUCCUGCAUCAAGUAAGGAGACUUCCUCUGCGCUUCCUGCAUCAGUUCCAGCCUUCCCUGUGUUCCUGGCCUGACCUCCCUCAGUGACAGACAGGGAUUGAGAUGUGUACGCCUGAUAAACCCUUUUCUUCACAAGUGCCUUUUGAUCCCGAUCUUUAUCAUAGUGAGAGAAAGUAAGCUGGGGGCUGAAGAGAUGGCAGCGGAUAAGAGCACUGACUGCUCUUCCAGAGGUACUGAGUUCAAUUCCCAGCACCCACAUGGUGGCUCACAAACAUCUGUAAUGGGAUCUGCUACCCUCUUCUGGUGUGUCUGAAGACAGAUAGAGUGUACUCAUAUACAUAAAAUAUAUAAAUUGUUUUUAAAAAGGAAGUAAGCUGGGACAGCUUCUGCCAAUAAAUAUAUAAUAAAUUAAUAUAAUAAUUAUUAUAUCAUUAGUAUUAUUACAUAGUAUUAAUAGGUUAAAUAAAUAUGAAAAUAAAUGCAUAAACUAAUAUCUUGAAGAUAAAGAAAUUUCCAUUUGAGAGGACAGGCUUUGGAUUCCCACAGACACACGUUUUGGAUCCAGAAAAUUCCAUCAAUUUCCGUGAGUUUCAGACUUUUAUUUGUAAAAAGGAGAUCACAAAAUCCACCCCAGAGGGUUGUGAAAAGAAAACAAAAUGAAAUCUGUAAACACAUGAAGCGCGCUACUUAGUAAACGUCACCUGGUGUCACUAUGGGGAAAAGCCGAAUGGGGCUAAACGAUGAUGUCACUGUUAUUGGUGAGGAGUAGGUCAAUUCCUGGAGCUCACGGGGCUGCGGCCACCCUUCGUCAUUUGGGGGAGGAAUGGGGAGGGGACACAUACUGUCACACACAGCAUCUCACACUGGUUCUGGGGCAGAACCUUCAUAAGACAUGGGGAAUGAAAACUCAGAGAUACUGACACAUGCGGUGUCUCUACCCAACAUUGUAUGUGGCACCUGUCAAAAGUAUUGGCAGAUACAUUUAUGCAGAGAGCAUGUUAGAAACACCGAGCGUCUGUCCAGAGCCAGCCUAGGUCAAGGCAUUGGCAUUUUUAUAGUAGAAGGGGAACGUGGUGCCUUUGAAUCUGUUAAACCCAGAUGUGUUCUUCAGGCCUGGUUGUAUCCAGGGACAAAGAGAUACACAUAGCAAGUUUCUCUUAUCUUUUGGCCGGACACUGAGACACUCCCCGCAGGUUCUCCCUGCUUUGUUCAUACACCGCAGCCAGAAAAAAAGGAAACUUCCCCUAGCAAACUGUCUAGACUUGAGUCAUGAGCUGUCUGUCUCUGAGCCACCCAGCCAGAUGUGAGACUUCUGUACCCACUCAGCUCUAUGGCCUGGGAGUAGGGGAGGGAUAAUAUUCUAAAGAAUACAGCGGGCUUUUUCAAACAGAAGAGUGAGCAGUUGCUAGGCAGGCACAGCUCACUGCUGUCUGCUGCAAGAGAGACAACUCACAGGUGAACAGAUAAGAGAGACAUGCCACCCGGAAGUCAUCCGGUGACAUUCUGGACCAAUGCUGGAUCCAGGCAGGAUGGGGACCAUAUAGAAUUUUGUCAUUGUUUCUAUAAACACCUUUCAAUAAUU